rnacentral:rRNA from 1 species
AACGAACGCUGGCGGCAUGCCUAACACAUGCAAGUCGAACGAGGCCUUCGGGUCUAGUGGCGCACGGGUGCGUAACGCGUGGGAACCUGCCCUUAGGUUCGGAAUAACUCCCCGAAAGGGGUGCUAAUACCGGAUAAUGUCUUCGGACCAAAGAUUUAUCGCCUUUGGAUGGGCCCGCGUUGGAUUAGUUGGUUGGUAGGGUAAAAGCCUACCAAGGCGACGAUCCAUAGCUGGUCUGAGAGGAUGAUCAGCCACACUGGGACUGAGACACGGCCCAGACUCCUACGGGAGGCAGCAGUGGGGAAUAUUGGACAAUGGGCGAAAGCCUGAUCCAGCAAUGCCGCGUGAGUGAUGAAGGCCUUAGGGUUGUAAAGCUCUUUUACCCGGGAUGAUAAUGACAGUACCGGGAGAAUAAGCUCCGGCUAACUCCGUG